GUACUUACCUGGCAGGGGAGGCAUCAUGAUCAGGAAGGUGGUUUUCCCAGGGCGAGGCUCAUCCAUUGCACUGCGGCCGUGCUGACCCCUGCGAUUUCCCCAAAUGCGGGAAACUCAACUGCAUAAUUUGUAGUAGUGGGGGACUGCGUCCGUGCUCUCCCCUG
ensembl:snRNA U1 U1 spliceosomal RNA